GAAAGAUUCAUCGGAAGAGGAUGGGCAUGCGGCGCAUUAGCUAGACGGCGGGGUAACGGCCCACCGUGGCGACGAUGCGUAGGGGUUCUGAGAGGAAGGUCCCCCACACUGGUACUGAGACACGGACCAGACUCCUACGGGAGGCAGCAGUGAGGAAUAUUGGUCAAUGGGAGAGAUCCUGAACCAGCCAAGCCGCGUGAGGGAAGACGGCCCUAUGGGUUGUAAACCUCUUUUGUCGGAGAACAAAACCCGGGACGUGUCCCGGACUGCGUGUAUCCGAAGAAAAAGCAUCGGCUAACUCCGUGCCAGCAGCCGCGGUGAUACGGAGGAUGCGAGCGUUAUCCGGAUUUAUUGGGUUUAAAGGGUGCGUAGGCGGUCCGUUAAGUCAGCGGUAAAAUUGCGGGGCUCAACCCCGUCGAGCCGUUGAAACUGGCAGACUUGAGUUGGCGAGAAGUACGCGGAAUGCGCGGUGUAGCGGUGAAAUGCAUAGAUAUCGCGCAGAACUCCGAUUGCGAAGGCAGCGUACCGGCGCCAGACUGACGCUGAGGCACGAAAGCGUGGGGAUCGAACAGGAUUAGAUACCCUGGUAGUCCACGCAGUAAACGAUGAAUGCUGGUUGUCCGGGUCGAAUGAGAUCUGG
rnacentral:rRNA from 1 species